CUCUCUCUCUCUCUCUCUCUCUAAAUAAACUUUAAAAAAAAAAAAGAGGAAGGAAGGAAAUAGAAGAAAAGACUAUUUCUUGGUGGAGAAAUACAUCAGUGCUUCACUGUGAUCACCUCCAUUGGAACUCCUGUCAGAUUUGCACUGAGUUAGUAGUCUCUUUGGUUUCUUUCCUAAAUUCACUGGCUUUGUUUCAUAUUUUGCUGAUAUAAAAAGAAUCACUUAGAUUCUGCCUGGUGUAAGAUGUGUCUACUCAGGGACAUACCCAACUGACCUUCAUAGGACAGAGCUGGACCCAAUGGCUUCCCAUUGCUCUGAGCUAAGUGGCUCCAGGAGUCAUCCGUUGACAUCCUCUAGGAAGGGAUUACUGGACCCCUCCACUUAAAAGCACACAUCCCUUAGGGAAAGCCUUGAACAAUUUUUGCCCGCUCCCUGUGUGCUAGGGAGAUGGGUUUUCACCCGGGUCUUUGGGAAAUCUACACUGUGCCAAAAACUUGUAGGGGCUGGACCCAGUGUCAUGUGAUGGAGCAGCACAGCCUCCUCCUGGGUACACAGGGGAAGGAGAGGCUAACCCUCUGGACUGGAAGGCUAGAGCCUGGGGGCUUACUCCCAAAGCCCUCAAUUCAGUUGAUGGGAAUGAGUUUGGAAAGCCAAAAAUUCCAGGAAGCAGGCCAGUUGUAUCUUUGGUCUUGAACAGAUCGUGGUCAUACUGCUUACUAACUGUGUAGCUUGGACAGGUCACUUCACCUCUCUGAACCUCUUCCAGCCACUAGCCACAUAGAGGGGAGAAUAAAUGGGAUGGUGCACCAGCCCAGUGCAGGGGCUAGGCGCGGGGCGGGGAGGGGGUGGUGGUGUCCCUCUCCUUCCAUUGGACGCCAGGCCCCUCUCUUGUGGCCUCGUUUUCCUGUCUCCCAAGCCAGCCCAGGGCCCAGUGCCACGUCUGAGCUGGACACCAUCAAGUCAGACACGCACCAGCAAUAUGCAGGCCUCUGUGAAGAGACGUUCAAAGACUUUGCUGGAAGUUAUUGAACCUUUCCCUAGAAAAAUCUGCCUGCACCAGACGUGGUUGAUUUGACGCACAGUUUCAAAGGGCUCGUUGGUUUGUGGUGUCCACUUGUAGGCACAGCCGAAGCAAGUGUUCAAGACCAGCUGUCUCCUUGUACUGCUGUGGGAAAAGCUGAGAGUAAAGAGAGUGAGUUGUCGUCUCGGGCCGGCCAGGGGGCAUCUCUGCCAUUUCCAGUUUCCUCGAGAUCAUACAGAAUACAAACAGUCGGGGUCGCCUCUGCUCCCUUAACCAACCAGAGCCCAGCCCCAGAAGGUCCUGCCUCAGGAGUCCGAGCUCAUGACUUUCCCCUCGGGUCCCAGCCGCAGCCCCCCUUUCUUGCCUAGUCUCCCACGCUCUGCCCUUCCUACCCAGCAUCUUGAUCACAUCGUUGCCUCGUUUGGAAUCUGCCCCAUCCAAAUCCUACCCACCCUGGAAAGUCCGGCUGUCCGGGCAAUCCUCCCGCAGAGUCUGCCCCGACACCCUUUCCUUCGGCCUCCCCGGCCCCCCCCCCCCCCCCCCCCGGAGCCUGUGACCUGCCUCUGUCACCCAGCGCAGUGAAGGCCUGAGGCCAGUGAGACCCCUGGGCUACAGGACCAGCCUUGCCGCUCUCUGGGGGCGCCUCCAGGCACACCCACCACCACCUUCCCCCAGUUACCAGCCAGUAUGUGCAGGGCCCCUGCGACGGCGGCCAGCCUGGCCUUCCUGGAGAGCUCCAUGCUCCCGAUGUUUAUGCAGCGCAGCCCCGCCAUGCCUAGGAAGAGGCCCAGGAAGCCCAGGAAGAUGGCGGUGAUCAUGAGCGCCCGGCAGGCCUGGAGGUCCCACGUGGCACAGCCCCUAGACAUCAUGAAGUGAGCUUUCUCCUGCAGUGACCUGUAGGGGGCAGCAGUUGCCCGUGGGUUACUGGGUGGGGGCUGGUUCUGAUCUGGAAAGUGGGGUAUCUAGGCGCAGGACAAUCCAAGCCCAUCUAGCUCAUAUACAUUGGAUGCCUCAGUUUCCCCUUUCUCAAAGCUGAAGGAAACGGCCAGUUUCCUUCCGGGCCCCUCUUCCCCCUUCUCUUUGAUACUUGCCAACCACCCCAAGGACCUUGUUCCCCUUUCCUGGGUGGGGCCGUGCCACUGGUGCUGAAGACGCUGGGUCCCUGCCAGGAGGAUGUGAAGUGGCCCGGAGUUGGCGGGUAGAGAGGAGGGACAAAGUUCUCUGGGAGCACUUUCUCACUCCCAGCCACUCCCUCUGGGGUUCCCCCCUCCCCCGUAUCCUCUCUAUCCAGGGCUGAGCAGCCCUGGGUCCCUAGGCCGCUGUGGUAGACAAAGGAGAGAUUAUUGAUGGGCCACGAGGGAGCGUGGGCUGGGCGGCUGUGGGGGAUUAAAUAAUAGUCAGGACCCCCCUCGGGACCAGAGUAUCCGCCAGCCUGGGUUCCGGCACCCCUACCACCUGUGGGGCUGUGGGCCGGUUAACGCUUGUGCUUGUAGUUUUCCAGCUUGGGUGAGACGGGGUUGCCUGCGCCCCACGCAGCCAGGCCAGCGGAGACGGCACUGUGAUGGCCUGCGUGAAGAACCAUCACAACGUGGGGUGCCCUGACGACCCCCGAUGCCGGGCAGCUGCCCUCUGCCCUUCCCCCUGGAGCAGGCUCUUGCCCCUCCAUCAGCAGUUCCAAGUGGGGCCCUUCUCGGGCCGACAGGCUCACGGCAAACGCCCCUCUUCAAACCGCGAUGUGGCUGAGGGAUGGGUGAGGCGGGAAGGGCCAGUGCUGCUAAGCUGGCUGCCUGCAAUGUCCCUUCUGGCCACCCGGCAUUCGGGGCUUCUGGUCCGGAUGGUACCCAGCUUUUAUCGGGAGCUUGGGGAGGGCACGUGCCCUGCACAUGGCAAAUCCUGGAGAGGGGGAUGAAGGCACGAAAUCCCUGCUGGCUCAGGAGAUUCUGGGAAUCGCAGGGGCACGAGAGACCCAUGCAGACCCCUUAACUGCGCAGAGCAUCUCUGGCAUUCCCGCAGCCCUGUUCCAAACCCAGUGUUGGCUUUAGUUCCAUCCACUUCCCGGCACCUACAGUGGCGAACCGGAAGAGCACGACGGCUCCAAGGGGGGUGCGGGAGUGGCACCAAAAAGAGGACCUGGUCCUCCCCUCCUGGUCUCCGGCACGGGCCUACCGAAAAGACUCCCCCAAGGGAUGCUGGGGACUACUCGGUGAACAGGAAGCGGGAAGACGCUAUACCACCAAGAAGAACCUUUCUGGAACAAAAGACCUGUACGUUCCGGCCCUCCGAGAACUUCAAAAAAUCCACCGCCUGAGAACGCCGAACACACAUGCACACACACCCCUAGCUGCUUCCACCAGACACAGCGCCGCGGGAAGUCUUGCUUGAAGAGGGCCCUUGAGAAUUCGCCGUGGCAGUGGCACCGAUGCCUUUUAAGGGUCUCAACGCCAAGAACCCAAGAUGGGCCUCCUCUGCACCCCCAUGACCCCCAGCACUCUCACCACAAAGCUGAGAUGCUGAAGUCGGUCUUGUGCGCACACGGGCCAACGAGAAUCACGCUAAACGUCCCGGGCUGUAGCUCAACACUCACAACUAUGCCACGCGCCUGUGCACGUUCCCCCGGUUUUACAGUUGGGGUGAACGAAGCUCGUUUCAUCACCUGCCGGGGGCACCGAGCUGGUCAGCUGAGCCCGGCAGUCUGGCCCUGGUGCCUGCACUUGGAACCACUAGGGGUGUCACAUCAGGGCAGGGGGACACGUGGGACGAGGUCUCCAGUGCGGCUCCAGAUGGGGGCCGCCGGGCACUCCCAGCUCCCCGAGCUCGAUCCAGGCCUCCCUUAUCGGCUCGGUGCCCAAGGCCCGACCGUGGGCAGCAGUCACCCUCCCCGGGGGUCUCUCCCCGCCUCCCGCCGCCCCCUGGAGCGGGCCACCCCGCUCUCUCCACCCCAUACCGGAGAGGGCCAGCAAGGACGGGAACUCCCGGCAGCUGUAGACUCCCAGGGAGUCGGUGGCACAGCUAAACCAGAGGUUCUCGAAGAUGGUGUUGGUGGUGAUGACGCUCCCGUGCACGGUGGACACUCGCCAGUAGCUGUGUGGCAGGGUCACCCCCAGCAUCAGCAGCCCCAGGGCCGCCAUGAAGAAGCCGAAGAUCUCCACGGCCACCGACAUGGUGAGAUGCAGGGCCCUGAGGGGCGCCUGGGGCCCCAGAGGAGGGGAGGGGCUGAGCCCCAAGGGAACUUGAGGGGCUUUGGCUAAGGAGGGGUGUUAAGGCAGGCUGGAGAGAAAGGUGGAGAGAGCAGGGGGGGCCAGCAGCAACCUGGGGUGCAGAUCUGCCCCCACCCCCCCGGCUUCUGCCCCCUGCCCUCCCUCUGGGUUCCUGCUUCCCCGAAGGUCCGGGCAGAGGAAUGAGCCCAGAGCGCCGGGCAGCUGUUGACGCGGAGAUGGAGGGAAGCAACGGAACACGGGCCAAAAGUCCACCCCCUCCCCCAGCCUCUGGGCUCCCCGCCCCACAAGGGGGGCGGAGAGGACUAAUGGGAGUGACCAACGAACUGAUGGGGCUGAGGGGGGCCCCCACGGGAGGCACUGGAAGCAGAGGGGAAGCAGGGAAGUCGCUCUGACUCAGCUCUCAUCGGGGGGCCGGAGAAUGGAGCCAGGACGAGGAAAGAGAAGGUGACUGAGAGACCGGGGCCACAGACAGACCUUUCGCGGGGCAGGAUCCGGGGAGCGGAGCCCCCCUCCUGGAUGUUGGUGAGAACAAUUUAAGAAACUCCAAAGACUUAGGGUUCGGGCUACUGAGUCACCGAAGAAGAUUAAGGUUGAGUAAGGCAUCAGGGCGUCUGGGCGGAACCCGCAGCUCUGGAGUCCAGUCAACCUGGAUUCAAACCAGACCCACCAUCUACCAGAGCCACAAGGGCCUGGAGUCUGAGCCCCUCGGGCUUGUUCCUGCUUCUGUGAACUAGAACUGGCUCCCUCACCACUGUGACCCCAGAUCAAAAGCUCCCUGCACGUGGGAACUGCUCCAUCCUCGGGGACCACUCUGGCUCCGGGUGCCGCGGGCACAGGGUGAGGCCACCAGUGGGUUGCUUCCCUCCAAACUUCAACUUCUUGAACUUGAAUUUCCCCCCUCGUCGGGUUGAUCUUUGACUCUCGGCAACAAGCUUGAUCUCGCUGCCAAGGGCCACCAAGGGGGAUAAAUCACAGGCCCAGAACGUGAUCCUGUGGCUAAUCUAAGCAGCUCAGUUAUCAGAACUGUCACCAGCUCUAUUAAUUGUGAUGGGUUAGAAACCGCCGGGCCCCAACCCCAAGCCGAGGCUGAGCACCUGUCCUGGUGCAGACGGUAUCAUUUCCUGCCUCAAGGCUCCUCAAGGAGCCAGGGCAGCUCUGGUUCUCCUCUAGC